rnacentral:rRNA from 1 species
GACGGAGGAGGCUAGCGUUGUUCGGAAUUACUGGGCGUAAAGCGCGCGCGGGCGGUUAUGCAAGUCAGGGGUGAAAGCCCGAGGCUCAACCUCGGAACGGCCUUUGCGACUGCAUGACUGGAGACCGGAGAGGAGAGUGGAAUUCCCAGUGUAGAGGUGAAAUUCGUAGAUAUUGGGAAGAACACCAGUGGCGAAGGCGGCUCUCUGGCCCGGACCUGACGCUGAGGCGCGAAAGCGUGGGGAGCAAACAGG